rnacentral:lncRNA from 1 species
GCGGCCGCCGGAGCGACGCCUGGACCUCGGCCUGAGGAAACGCCUUCACGAGGAGAGAUGAAGAAGAAACCCGUAUAUAAUCAGAGUGUGGGUGAUCAGGAGAGUGAAGAUGCGGAAGGUGAAGAAAACAGAAAUAAUGCUGAUACUUCUGGCUUACUGUACAGUGAGGUGGACAGAUGUCCAAUCUGUCUUAGUUGCCUAUUAGGGAAGGAAGUUGGUUUUCCAGAAAGUUGUAAUCAUGUCUUCUGUAUGGCCUGUAUUCUUAAAUGGGCAGAGAUACUGGCUUCUUGUCCAAUCGAUCGGAAACCCUUUCAGGCAGUGUUUGAACUCCGUGCAUUUGAAGGUUGUGCUAAGAUUCAGGUAAAAAGACGGUCGAGAGAAUUAGACGACAAGGAAAAUGAGGAGUCUUUUAAGAAACAACUCGUUUAUCAUGAAAGUUCCAAAAGCGACAAGAGAAAAGGAAACACUGUAAGAGAAGAUCUGUUAUGUGAGAGAUCUGAUGACUUGAAGGUGUUGUAUAGAAACUUUUCAAACAAUAAAAUGGGUGGAAAGAAAAAUGCUACAGUAAAGACAAACAAGGUUCAAAGAUUGAAUCAGUGUACAGAUUCUUGUGUGAGAAGUGACAUGCCCAGUGUAUCUUCAUGUGACG